UUUUAACGGAGAGUUUGAUUCUGGCUCAGAACGAACGCUGGCGGCGUGGAUAAGACAUGCAAGUCGAGCGAGAUUUUUUCUUGUAGCAAUACAGGGAAAAGUCUAGCGGCGAACGGGUGCUUAACACGUGGGCAAUCUGUCUUGAAGUGGGGGAUAGCUCGGCGAAAG
rnacentral:rRNA from 1 species